CCACACAAACAUCAGCGCUCAAUGCUCUAUUUCUUCAGCUACCUUUGCUUCUAUUAGGGGAUCCAAGUGUGCAAACACUAGUCUGACGGGAGCCAUAAUCAUCCCUUAAACACAGAGGCUGCUGUUGAAUAAAUUAAAUGGGCAGACCUCUCACUAGACCGUCGAUAUGCCUCCCAGGGACUCAAUAUGCUUUCGGAACCUUGCAGGGAUUUCUUGUUGGCGGGUAAAAAGUAGCCGGCUAUGGUAGAUUCCUUAAUUGGGAGGUGUUGUCUGGGGUAAGAAUGGUUAACCUCAGGGGAAAUGCUCCAUGGUUAACCUGGGUUAACCCGGCCCUGCACGUCGCGCCCUCCUGAUGGACACGUAUGGGGCGCGAUUACGGGCAGCCUUGUCGGGUUAAGAGGACUUCAUGGAGGUGGUUCCACUUCAAUCGCCCUCCUUCUCUGCCCUCAUUUUGCGCAAGUCAAAUGAGCAAAUGGGCUCAACGGUUUGCUUUUUAUUUCACACUGAAACAGAUUGUUGCGGUUCUUCAUGGUGCUGUAAACAAGGGUUUAAAAAUGUAUGAAAUGUCUCCAAGUCAGCAGAAAAGUGAUCCUCUAAAAUCCAACGCUUCAUUGUGCACAGAGGAUAAAUGCGAGGUCGUAUUUUGAGCGUGGCAAGUCAAGCACACAAUAUUCUUGGAAUUCAAGUGGUUUAAGUCGAGAUCACUCUCACUGCUGACAAGGAUAAAUACUGAGAAAAGUACAUCGCCGAGGUCCAUUGAAAACACUGAAUCGUGUUUGAACUUGUUUAAGGUUUAACAUUAACCUUUUUAUCGUCAAAUUCACAGACAUCAUGCAGAAAGUUAUUGAAGUUUAUAUCAAUUAAUGUGGUGCUUUAUUGACUACCUAAAUACCCCAUUGAAUAAAAUAUAGGCCCUUUAUUACCAACACCAUGGGCUCACAGGGAAAAAGCGUCCUGUUAUCGGACGAUGUUGGUUGGUUUUUCCCCUUUCACACCACCAAAAGUAAUUUCCGCACACACGAUGAAGGAACGUUAAAGUCGAUCGUUCCGAACACCCCUUUCCCAAUUCAACAAUGGGCAUCUCGUACAAAUUGUAAAAAACAUGCAAGCUGUGGUUGAUUCGGGCUGCAACUCCGGUGAUAAAUGCCCAACCCGAUUUGUUCAUUAAAUAUUUGAACUGUCACAGUUGUGCUUUAACUAUGUAGUAGACCUGUGCGUGUGGGGCACAGAAUGUCCAAAAACAUUUCUACGCACCGUGCACAGCUGUUGUUGCACCAACUUGAAGAAGGAUGUGUUCAGUAAACCUUCAGUGCAUUUAACAUUGAAUACAGAGGAGCAAAUUGGGGGCAAACGACACGCUUGUAGGGUUGCAGCUGACUCAGAGUCCACUGUAGAGCCCUUGACCACCUACGUAUCCAUGAUCCUAACAAAGAAAUGCAGCGAUUCAGUCAGCAUGGGCUUGGAUUUUGGCCCUCCGUUCGUUCAUUGUCUUCACCAUACUGUCCUGUUAUCAUGGGUACAUUACCUGUUAACAGCAGGUUCAAACUAGACCUUCUGGCAGUGUAUCCUUAAAUAAACCUCCCGCCUACAGAAAAACUGCUCAGUUAUUCUUUCCAUCUGUAAAUCUUCUUCCAUUGGUGAAUUAGUUUGGUGCCUUAGUCUUUGCAGGUGCAAACGGGAUGAAACUGUCCUCAGUUUAAUGAACUUAGUGAAUUAAUCUCAAUUAUCUCAUCGGUCACGGUUAAAGCUUUAAUUUGUGUAAAUGAUUAUCUGAUUAACAUUUUUGCAGGGGAAAGCCUUAACGGUUUUACAUAAAUUUAAAAAAAAAAGACUAUAAUCAACUUCUUUAUAAAUAUUGGUCACUUCAGCCAAACCCUGAAUUAUUUUGCUUGGCCACUAUUGGAAUUGUUCGCUUUUAUAUUCUGUACUUUAAGAUUGAAAUACUAUCUUGUUUGUUUGUAUAGAUUUUGCAUUUGUUACUAAGUAGAUAAUGUGUUCAUUCUUUUAAUGAUGCAAUGUAACCUUUUCUCCACACUACUAAAAUGCCAAUCCUCUUAACUCAAUGAAAAAUACGUGUGCUUUAUGGAUCUUGUUCUCAUAAUUGGGACCCUUGGCCAUUGACGGACACCUAUUUCACUUUGUCAAAGCCUGAGCUACGCACUUAAAGAUAACAAGUAUUUGACUUUUGUGCAACUAGUACUCAUUAUUCUGCUUCUCGUCGACCACGUGAAUGUUAUUGAUCAGAACUGCAGCAAGACAUUGUUGUUUAAUAGAAAAUUAACAUUCUCACCACGUAGUGCAGCCUGCAUGAAUCCUAAUUUAUCUUCCCUAACUUAAUAGAAAAACUCUGCCAUGUGUACAAGCAGCUACAAGCUUCUUUGGCUGCACAACCGGAUCUGAUGCGGUUCUGGUUACAAGUAACACCGGCAGACUGCUUUUCCUGGCAUGCAACCAGACCUUAUUUAUCACUCUGACAUCCUGGUGGCAUUUCCCUGAUGAGACCGGUCGAGACAAUGCUCCUCAGGAAGACGGGACGAGGAGAGGGGGAUCCAAGGCACGGACGAGCGCCGUUGUCGUUGCCAGCCUUUGACCCGUUCAGCACACCGCCUCGCGGACAGCCCUGUCGGGGAGCUGGACGUUUGGCUUCUCUCGUCUACUUUACAAAUGUCUUUGUGCUGCAGCCUGGCUUCCCCUCCCUCCCGCUAUCUCUCCGAGGCAAAUAUAGAACUUGAGUUCAAACUUGCAGCCAAGAGUACAAAUUCAAGGCUUAUCUAUUGCUGCCAUCCGGCCGGCCCAGUGGCGGCGGGCCAGCAGAGGAGGGUCGGAGCAUUGCUCAGGCUAGAGGUGCAUGAAAAGAAAGUUCUGAAGACUUAUCUUUAAAUUGUAUUUAUUCAGGAUUAGACAUACUGUAAUUUAAUGCAUUACAGCUAUGCUUUUUAAAGGCUCUCAUCCUCUUUACAUACAGAAAUGUCAUAUGUACUCUGGUCCUCACUGAAGCCAUGCGUUGCAAAUAGUUAGGAUGAGCAAACUUGUCCGUGACAAACACCAGGGACUUUUUUUUUUGAUCCUGCCUGAUCUUGAUCAGCACUCUUACUAUAAAAGGCACUUGUUUUGGUUUAUAGCAUCUGUAUUUCAUGGAGAGUUUUCUGAUAACACGGCUGCUGCAGCCAACCAAACCACGGUGAUUAAAUUUUGUGGAAACUGAAAGGAUCCGUAUCGAUCGUUUGUACUUCUACAAACACCAUUCGAGUUGAACAGUUAUUACUAUUUCAGCUGUAAAGUCAACGCUAAGGCGGGAUGUUGCCCUCGGUUAAUGCUAUGAGCUAUGAUCCUGCCCCGAAUCUCAACCAGCUUUUUCAGCACAGGAAGGAUUCCAGGACCAGAAUCUGUUGCCUUAUCAGUCGAAAGCACAGUUCAAUAUAUGGAAAAUACACUGUGAUAAAAUUCCUUAUGUACUUAUUUUUUAGUGUGUACCCUUCCAGUCUCACAAACAAGUUGACUUAUGUACACUUUACAAGCUUCUUGCUGAUACACAGAAAUCCAAUUCCACAGACUGCACUGGGCAUUUCAGGACAGUCAAAAUGCUAAACUAUGUGCCAAGGCCGUAGGAGUCAGACUUACCCAGCCACCCUAUUUGUUACUCUCUUUUUGUGAUGGUUUCCACCCAUUUCUCUCCGUCCUAUUUGACUUUCUAGCCCUCUUGUUCCACCCUUUCAUCUUGCAGACAUAGAACAGCAACACAGCUCUCAGUGAGGGCAAUCAAAGCCCCCUUAACAUGCAAUCAUGCUUUCAAAGCACAGCCAGACCACUGUCCCACUUUGCUACCAGUCAGUUGCUAGAUUGUUCAAAGAAUAGGCUUUUGUAAUUCAAAAAUCCACUCUGCUAUAGCAAAAUGAUAUGUUGUUCAGUUUAUCAUCAGGUUAAUGAACUUAAUGGGAAGGAUAAGGUUUUAUGUGCAAAUGGGGCAAUAAUUAAUUUUCCAGCCACUGUUCGUUUUUUUCUGGACCAGUUUGACAAAACACACAUAUGUAACAUUUGUGUGUGAAUGAUGAGGAAUCGAAGUGACCUCCUGCAUUAAAUCAUAUGUUAUGCAUUACUUAAGUUGAUUUAAGCCUUUAUUAUAAAGUGUUACAAAUGAUUGCACGAUCACUUGAUUUGCUCUCAUGAAAUAUUGUGUUGGGCCACAGCCACUCCUUAAUGAAAAAUAUGCAACGCCUGUAUUGUUUCCUAAAGGCCGCCUUCACAAACGGGACACAUCAGGCUUGUUUUCCGCCACAUAACCGCCCCGAGACCAAAUCCUUCAGUUGGAAGCACACACAUACAAAAUCAGCCUUCCUUGUAAUUUCAUCAUCGUUCCCUUUUCUUCUGAAAUGAGUUGCAAUGAUGAAUCGUCCCGUAAUGUUUCCAUGUCACUGAAUAGUCUGUGUUUAAGUUAUAUUAAUAUAAUCUUAUUCUUCACAUCAGACAGAGGAUUGGUAACAGAUUUUUUGUUUACUGUCCGUAAAAGUCCAAACGAUGGGUCAAAUGAAACAGACUUUCACAAUUGCAGUUGUUGAGCGAUCCCACAACAUACUUUAGAGUGACAGUGCUGUGAUUUUCACUGAGAAAGACUAGCAUUCAAAAAAGGAUGAAGCCACAUAAUUGGAAUGCUGUGUAUGUUUGUGUGCGAAAGAGUAGAAAUAAAACAAAUAUCCUUCUGAAAGUUCAGUGAUUGCAAUUUCUUUAACUAAAACAACGGAUGUGUCAUAAGGAAAAUGUGAGCCUGGUGUCCACCUGUGCUAAACUUGCAUUACGUUAGUGACCACGUAAUAAAAAAUGGUUUUAAGAAUUUUGCAUGCUAACCCUAACUUGUAAUUACUCUAAGAAUCAAAAUGAGAAAACUACCCAUUCUAAAACAGUUUUAAUUAAUAUUAUUAAAAAUAACUAGCAUGAGAAGUCAAAGCCCAAUAUGAGAAAAGGCUGAAAUGGGUCUGAAAUUGCUGGCAAUUUGCACACUAAAUGUAAUUUUGGUUUCCCUCAAACACUAGAACGAAAAGUGUAAUUUAAUGCUUUGCCUUUUGAUAGAUGUGACAAUUACAAUUAUGUAACACUGCAUUUUUCACUGAGGGCUCUAAAGCAUGUGGGUAGUGUACGGGAUAAAAAUAAAAAAAGUAGAAUAUUGGAUUUUUAUUUUUCAGGGAGCAUGUGAAGGAGGUAAGGUUUCUGAACAUGACAUAUUGCUCAUUUUGACCCCGGCUGUCUCCCUGGAGUCCACUUUUGAAACAACUGCUCUAAGUCACUUUGCAACGCUUGUAAAGGCCGAAGCAAAUCCCCAUGCUGCCUGGACCUGAACCCGACGCGCCCCACCGCUGAACGAUUUUUCUGUUAAUGUUUAUUACAGGGAGGCCGGUUCAUUAUUUACUCUGUAUAAAUUAUGGUCCGAUAAAAUUGAUUAACCCUCCCAAGCUCACAUUGCUGCCCUUUAGAUGUUUAUCUGCUUGGGACUAAGAGAUAUUGACACAGAGAGUCUCGGCUCGCUGACAAGCAUGUGGCAGAAGGCAAAGUAGCUGCCACUCUGGGAAGGGCAGAAAAGAAACCUUUUGGGAUCUUGACAGGGGGGGAAAAAAUCACUACCUGGUCCUCCGCAGCGCAAUCUGGUUAAAUCCCCCCUUUGUUCCUCAAUCAGGCUUGGAUGGUAACGCCUUUUUUAUUCUACUAACUCAUCCUCCAUGUGUCUUAAAUUAUUUAAGCUUGACGUCACACAAUUACUCGUGUGCUUGAAAAGUUCAGUUGAUUUCAUGAAUAAUGCCUUUCCUUAGCAAAGAAAAGGCUGACAAGGAUUAGGACCCAAAUAUGAGGUUACCAAAUUUAUUUGUUACCGCAAAAGAAAGAAAUCACAUUGUGUGUCCCAUGGCUCGACGUCGGAGGUUGGUGGAGUACCGCAACUCUACAGACGGCGAGAGAAGGUCAGGCAGAGGCACUCGCAGACCGGCCUGUGUGACUACCGGGGAAGAAGACUAAAUGGACUGACAACCCAAGCCUGCAGGACCUGGGUUGAAAUACAGCCAUUGACAAGUCCUCAUCGGUCUCAGCUGUGCGCUGCUCGGGGGGUGUGGCAAUGGGCGGCGUCUGGAGGCGGGACCAAGAACACGCGGCAAAACCAAACAAACAGGGAUGACCCAUGGGGGAAGGAGACUUUGGGGGGGAAAAACAGAGGCAAAAGACAGAACGGGCUCCUCAACAUUCAUAGUGGAGUCUCUCAGAGCUGCACUGUAAGAUCAUGAUGAAGACUUUGCUGCUAUUCCUUAAAAAUGAAACGUAAAAGGAAUGCAAUACUCACUGGAGUCUGUCAUUUGAUAUAGAUGAUAGGAAUGUCAUGUCAAUGGAAUAUGAUCCAAAAAUCUUUUUGCAUGUUGAACUCACCAGAUAUUUAGACACGUCGGCCUGUGGAAUGAGCAGUUUCAUUGCUUUGGAAAUUAUUCAUGUUUAAUCAUUCAGCCUUAAUUUUAACUGUACUUAACAAAACACUCCUCGACAAAAUAACCCGCCAAAUCCCGCUGCAUAUGUAAUAUUGGAAGUUGGAAACACACACACAAUCAGCAGCAAAAGAACUGUGGAAGCGGCAAAAUCAGUCUACACCUCUAUUUGCAAUUCUGAGUUGAGCCCAGUCUAUAAUCCUAAAAGCUUUGCUCUUUGUGGAUUGAUUUGCAUAAAACCACUAAAAUAUAUUAAUUUGUAAACCAUAUUUGUAUAAAUAAUUGGCAUCUAUAGAACAAUGAACAACUGUUUUUCUCCUAGGAAAAUGUCAAGAGCUGCCCCUUUGCAAGCCAAAUGCUAAAAGGUCUGGUACGCAUUCCUCUACUGCUGGAAAACAUUCCCUGGUUCGUAAGACUCACACUCACCAGUGCUUCUAUGGUCAUUUUGUGGCUCCAUGGCAACAGGCAUCCCAACCCGCCCACACAGAUUGAUGACGAAUAUCCAAAUAACUUCUUUUGUUGUCCGUCUCUGUUCUCAUCAGAAAUCAAUAAUGGACGACGUCAUAUGGAAUCAUUCUAUUACCACCUAUAAGUGCAGAACCAUUCACAUGUUCUCUUUUAUCCUUUUAUAUCCUCGAAGCCAAUUCAAUUGUAACUGGCCUUCACAGCUGGCUUCUCACCUAAAAUAAAAUACACAGUGGGUGUCUGUUACAAGUACGACAGUUAUUAGAACUGCUCUAACAUGGGCUGACAGAACUGUGAAAUCAGAGGCCUCUGCCCCAGACACAGUUAAAAUCCACAUUAGGGCUCAGUCGGGGGCCGAGUCCAGAGAUUAACGGGGAGGAGAGAUGCAUCGCCACAACAGAAGGGUGCAGGCCAGCAGUUUGUGUAACAACACAUGGACACUGCAGCACCUGCUUAGUAAAAGUGAAAUAAUGUUACGGUUCUUUCAUUAAAGGGAGGUUCACAUGCAGAUAGAGGAAUGACACCGUGGCAGAUAUCUUUACUGUAAAUUCAAUUUAUUCCAAAGACAAAUGGAGGCCAGGGAUUUGCUAGCUGGAAAAGCUGUUUUCUAGUGCUCUCAAAAUAAUUUCACACUUUCUCUGAAUUUACCACAUUGCGCAGUGGUCCCUCGAUUAUCCACAGGCGUUUGUAUUGGAAAGAAACUACUACAAAUGUCUCCAGUAAUGUCUUUUCUUAAUGUCCGUUUUUGUUUUCAGUCUACGUUCCAACCCUCACCUACGGUCACAAACUCUGGCUCAUGACCAAAAUGAGUUUGCUCCGUAGGCUCAGCCGUCAGGGGGGGAACGUGGGAGUUUAGGCGCUACUCCUUUGUCUCGGAAGGAGUCAGCACAGGUGGCUUCUAACUGGUGCUCCCGGACACUUCCCACUGGAUGGAAGGAAGACCCGGGACACGCUGGGAGGGAUCAUAUCUCCUGGCUGGCCCGGGAACGCCUCAGGAUCCCCCAGAAUGAGCUGUGAAAUGUAGCUGGUGAGUCUGGGUCAAGCUGCGGCCAACGCAACUCGACCCCGGAUAAGUGCAGGAUGGAUGGCGGUUUGAACAACAGAGCGAGAGUCAUUGUUUGGUUGCCGCUGGCAGCAUUUUUACCCCAUUUGGACACCUUUCUGUAAUAUGUUUAAAGUCACUUUUAUUCCUCGUAUUGUCACAGUCUGUUUCCCUCGUGCUCCCAACACGCUCGAGGGUGCGAGCUUGACUUUAUGCCCCUCGGGGGCAGCUGUUGGCCUUCUGUUAAUGUUAUCUGCUAUACAUGACAGGCAAUGUGAGAGGGGGGUAUGAUGAUUAAAAUGGCUCUGUUCACUUGUGUCACUUUGACCGCCUGUGGAAUUUGUAUUUCAAAAGGCGACGUUGUUUUUCUCCUUUCCCUUUGAAGCCGGCGAUAAUAAUGUCCCCUACCUGUCAGCCUGAUGGUGGUUGAAUAGCACCGCUCUGCGCUGACACAUUCAUAAUAUAUGGAACAGAGACAACUUUGCGCCUGCAAGAAACAUUUUGAUGUACACGUGGCUCCUCCAGUUAAAGAAAGACACACUUAACCUCCCCAAGUCCUGUAAAUAUAUAUAAAUACACAAAUGAGCCCAUUAUAUUUAGUUUAGUUAUUUUGUGUCCUGUGGUGUAACCCAACAAAGCUUAAAUAAGACUCGCCUGAAUCCCUCUGACAAUUACCAUGUUGCAUAACUGGCCUCAUCACUUUGACAUGUUGCAUUGUGUAUUUCACAAUGAUCAGCUGUGUGCUUUUUCUCCCCAAGGGGGACGUUACUGCUUGUGUAUGUAGCAAAGCAGCUUCUUCAAUGUGUCCCACUUUGAUUUUAAGGAUAAGAAUAAAGAUAUAGUUAAUACAAGCGUCACCUUUACGGUGUGAUCCAUGCAAUAUAAAAGAGGGAAAAUAAUUGCAAACAUUGUGAAAUAAAAUUAUGUCUAAAAUGUUUCUCUUUUGUAAAUAGCGGUGUAUGUGUGAGGAAACAUUAUUGGCCUGGCUUUUGUGCGUACACACAUCAGGUCUCUGAAGAUUAACUGAAGAAUACAAGAGGUUUAGGAGGGGAGUUGGAAAUACAAACAUGAGAAAGGAAAUAUUUAAAAGUCUGAUGGGGAAAAAAGAUGAUUUUUGUUUUCUUUAACAAUAAAUAUCACAAUUGCUUUAAGCAGUGUGUUACUUUGAUUUUACUACUACUUAUAAAGUUGGGGUAGUUUUAUGGCACUCAUACCUAUUUAUUUUAGAUGAGCCACUAGCACAAAUGUGAGUAUGAAACGACACUAGUAGAAUGACUUUGAGUGAAGACCUCAUUACAUCCCCCAUUACAGUAAAAAUAAAAAAGACUCUAUAGACUCAUGUAGUAUUAUAGACUCAAUGUUUGCUGCAGAGCAAAACAUUUUCGUGCCACCAAGUAGGAUUUCCACUGGAAAUAACAACGAUAUUGUUUUUGCUUCAGGGGGCCACGGGAUUCGGGUGAAAUGUGGUCUUCAUUUUGAGAAACAUAAUGCUCCGUCUAACACUUUUUAAUCCUUGUGUGGGCAGACCGAAUGGAUGUUGUUGUGGCCCAUUUCUCAACAGCAAGCCUUUAUGAAAGCACAAGCCACCAAGCUGGCGCUAAGCUCUUCCAACUUCCUUAUCUACAAUGAAUUUGGAUAUGAGAAACUAUUGAAUAAAGUUUGGUGGUUUUUGUGUAAAGCCGAAGUGUUGAAAAAGUGUUUCGUUCUGGCUCUCUCCUUUUCCUGACUCCCUGAUGUUUGGAUUUGGAGUAAAAUGAGUCUUUACUUCAAGCGGACAGACGGCUCCUACGCUCUACAAGGCCCACUGGCCUUGUCCGUGUUGACCGAUCAGAAGGUCUACUGCCCCUGCUGUUGUAAUGAGAACAUUAAUCUGCCACUUUUCAUGAGCUGCGAUCCACAGUUCACGGCGAACGGCGGCGUUACGACUCUGGGUCACGCUCAAUGACAGACGCCGUGACAUUUAGCCUUUGCCUCUCGAGCUUGAGUGUUAACUGUAGUGCUCAGUAUAACAGCUGUGAAAGAGUGAGCUCCUCUUUUUAAUAAAGGGAUGUCAAAGAUGUAAAGCUUGUCAAAACAGUAUUCAACAAUCAUUUCAUACAUUUUAGAUGAGGUUCUCUCAUUGCUUCUCUUUCUUGAAUCUAGGUGUGCUUGCAUUACAAAACAGUUGAAGAUAUGUUUUGACCUUGAAUCGAUUUUUUUCCUCGAAUCAUUUGUUUCUAUUCAGUGUCUAUUUAAUCCUAACAUUAUGUCUACUAAUAUGCCCAAGAAGUAUCCAUGUACUGCUUACUACAGGAACGCAAACGCAGAAGGGGCUCUUUUCUGCAGUCUGCAGUCUUUUUCACAUUGGCUAUGAGGCUGGAGGCUUUUUUUUUUUUCCACUUAUCCACUUUUUGUGGAUACUGAUAAAUCAAGCCAGUUGAUUGUCACAGCAACAAAAACACAGCCUGUGCAUUUCACUGUACGAUGACACACUGUAGUACUCCUUCAUUGUAACUGUUAUGUAUGUUACGGAGGUACACUCUGAUUGCAAUGAUAACAGAUCUCAUGCACAAGGGUCUUCUGCGAGUAUCAUACGGGUGUGUGAGAAAGUAAAUGGCAACUCAAACCAGCCGAAGAUCUCUAAGCAUCCAAAAGACGUCUAAACAAACAAACCCUGCAUGCAAUUUCAGAUACAGCUCAUGCCAUCACAGAUCUUUCUCUGGAUAUGUGUCUCUCUGACACACACAAACACUGUCUUCUCAUCCCACUACAGCAAUGAAAAUCUGUUAUCCCUCACAGACAGUAAAGGACCCCUGACGCCAAGUUACUUUGAAGCUUGGCUCACUCCUGUUACCGUACUUAGCAAGGAGAGAACACAAAAAAGACAUACAGCUAUUUAAAGGCUCUCCCUGGAGGGGGGGGGCAGAGAGGCUAACGGGGAUGUAAAUGGUGAAAAUGAAUGGAAUGUGAGUGAGUUGAAAAGUAAAAAAAAAAGACACUUAAAAGAGGCCAAAAUGCAAAAAACGGCAUCACGGGGGCGAGAUGUGAUGAGACAAAAGCCCCAUGAAAACGCUACAUUAGUUCCCUCUCGACUGCUGGUGGAGGCAGCAGCCGUAAUCAUUUGCCAGUCUAAUGGCAGGGAGUUGGUGAUGAGCUAAUGCAUAUUGUCGCAGGAUAUUACAGCGGGAGGCCAUUUUGGGGCAUAAUUCCUUCAGACCCCACCCCCUUUUUUUCAUGGUUCCACUUGAUUGAUAGGCCUCUAAAUGUUGCUCUACAUUUAGAUGUAAUCAGGCGGUCCCAUCAGAGAAGAUGAAAGACCUCUCUAUUCUGGGGUUCAUUCCAUUUAUAAUCUGCAAAUGACACAGCCACUUAAUUUAUCAGUGAAAUAUCUCCGCCCUUCCACAAAGGGGAAAGUGGCAUAAUCUACGUUGCCAAAGCCGGCAGUUAGAAUGGCGUCCAUAUGGGCGAGAAUUAUAACAUGUAUGAAUAAUGCCUGUGGUGUCUGAAAAUGUCAGCAAGCCCUACGCAAUGCAGCAGCUCUAAUUAGAUUUCGACCGAUUUUGACGUAUGUUCCCCGGGCUAAAUGUGUUGCUUUCGGGACGUCGCUUGAUCAAAUGUUUCGUUUUGCAGGCUUUACAUCAUAUUCUGAUUCAACCCAAAGACAAAGUGGUGUGAGACAUUUUAAUUGUGGAAACAAAACCAACAGAAUAAAAAAAAUGCAGCAAAGGGGAUCCAGGAAAAAAAAAGGUGUCUUGCCAUGAUUAAAGUGGUUUGAAGUGUGGAAGAUACAAGUUAAAUCUCCCGUUUCAAAAAAAGUAAUUAACAAAAAAAAAGCAUACCUUUGUAUAAAAACGUGGAAAGUGUUCAAAACAUUAAAGUUCCGCCAAGUACAGCAAUGCAUUUGUUGGGUGAAUGGAAAAAGCAGCAGUGGAUCUUAAAAGGCAAUCAAACUAUUUGUAAAGGUUAAAUUUAGCCAAAACAUUUCAAUAAAUAUCAAGCUAUAAAGGUCAUGCGGUACCUUUCCUCUCAACCAAAACUCUGCAUGUCAGGAACUUAUAGUAUAGCUGUAAGGAUAUCAACUUUCUGCAUUUAUGAAAUCAAUUGCACAGUGCAUAAAAACCCAGAAUACCUGCCAAAGUGGUAGAAAACAAUGAGGACUUCAAGGAAUGAGGCAGUAUGAAGACCUAUUUAGUCAACGCAAGGUGACUUUUUAGAAUCAACAGAAAAACACCAGUUGGCGCAAGUGGACACUGAUGAGCAGAAACGCUGUUGAAAUUAUUAAAACUCAAAAGACAUGUUCAAUACUGCAAAUCCGUCGCUUUGAGUGAAUUAAUGUUCACCUUAAAAAGUAUACUGGUUUUGGUGAGUUUGUAAACAACCUUAUACAAGUAGACUAUCCACCCCUCUGUUGUAUGCCUGUUACCACAGAAACCUUUAGUUGAGUUUAUCCUUUAGUCCGGGCGGAUGUUGAUUACAAAAGUGAAGAAAUUCCGACAGAAGGAAAACAUAAUGCCUCAGGGCCACAGCUGUGGCAUAAACAAUGGAAAAACACACAAUAUGUUCCAAUGAACUUUUCCCAACCUUGCACAGUAACCAUGGGGUACCAUCAUAAGGAGCUCAUUCACAUAUUCAUUGUUCAAUAUAACAAAUACACUUAUUUGGAUUAAAGUCAUGAAUUGAGUGGUACUUCAGUUGCCCUUCUAUUGAAACUAUGACUCUCGAGCUGCCCCUCGAGCAUCAGUUCUGGACGUUGCAGGGAAUCGUACCGUCAUAAGAAGUUAGUUUUAGUCAAUAGAAUGACAUUUAUAGAACAAGUUGCAAUGUUGAACGUAACUGAGAUUUCAGGAGGGCGGGAGAACCCACACCCAGAACCAAUGUUUCAAAAACAAUAAACUUUUACUAAAUCAAAUAGCAGGACACACAUGGGUUGAAUACAAGAGGGAGAAAGCAAACCUGGGCCCUGUUCCUCGUACGUAGUUCAACUAAGUCGAUCAAAUUAGCGAGAUGAUUGACAUCAGGCUGUCUCGGUUCCUCGAAGGCUGUCAGUAAUCAGCAUAAUCACGCGUGCGCGUCUUACGUUCUUCUUAAGGCGUAAGGGUCGAUCACCGAAACCAGGAUUUUUAACGGUACAACGGCAAAUAAAUUCUAUAAUAAAAAGAGGGGAUGAACGCAUGUAAGGAGAUAAUGUGUAUUUGAGUCAUUUCUGUUGGAUGAAUUGAACGUAUUGUUCAUUCUGUCCAUCCCCGGGGAGGAUCCUUCUCUGUCUCCCUAAAGGUCCCUUUUUUUCUCCCCAUCGAAGGCCUUUCCAUUUUUGGGGUUUUCCUGUGCCGAUGGGAUGGUUUCUGGACAGAGGAUGUCACAUGUGUACAGACUGAAGCCCUCUGAGGAAGAUUUGCGCUAAACGAAAUAAAAUUAAUAGAAUCAAAUGAUCAGACUGACACCGCCCCCCUGCAAGGCUACAAGCCAGACAUAGUAUCGCAGACAGUGUUGGUAAAAUGUAAGUGCCUUAUGUUAAGGUUUCGGAAGCUCUCGAGGGAGGACUCAAUCCUCUGUUCUCGUCCCGGCCGGAAACGAGGACACGAAUGAGUCAAUUCGUUUAAAUUCAAAAAUCAAAAGUUAUUUAAUAACUGAACAACGUAAUAGGGAUUACAAUUACAAAGUGAAAUACUAAGCGAACAGUGGAAUAUUUCGCGAAAUAGAGAAUCCUCUGAGCAAGUCUGAAGUGACUUAUCAACG
ensembl:lncRNA